UACGUAGGGUGCAAGCGUUGUCCGGAAUUAUUGGGCGUAAAGGGCGCGUAGGCGGAUGGCUUUGUCGGGCGUGAAAUUCCAGGGCUUAACCUUGGGGCUGCGUUCGAGACGGGUUGUCUUGAGUGGGGAAGAGGGUCGUGGAAUUCCCAGUGUAGAGGUGAAAUUCGUAGAUAUUGGGAAGAACACCGGUGGCGAAGGCGGCGACCUGGGUCCUUUACUGACGCUGAGGCGCGAAAGCGUGGGGAGCAAACAGG
rnacentral:rRNA from 1 species